CCAAUAGCGUAUAUUAAAGUUGUUGCAGUUAAAAAGCUCGUAGUUGAAUUUCGGGAUCAAAUUGUCGGUCGUGCCUCGGUACGAACUGGUAUCAUUGGUUCCUCCCUUCUGAAGAACCGCGAUGUCAUUAAUUUGGUGUCGUGGGGAAUCAGGACUGUUACUUUGAAAAAAUUAGAGUGUUUAAAGCAGGCGCACGCUUGAAUACAUUAGCAUGGAAUAAUGAAAUAGGACGUUUGAUUCUAUUUUGUUGGUUUCUAGGAUUGACGUAAUGAUUAAUAGGGAUAGUUGGGGGCAUUAGUAUUCAAUUGUCAGAGGUGAAAUUCUUGGAUUUAUUGAAGACUAACUACUGCGAAAGCAUUUGCCAAGGAUGUUUUCAUUAAUCAAGAACGAAAGUUAGGGGAUCGAAGACGAUCAGAUACCGUCGUAGUCUUAACCAUAAACUAUGCCGACUAGGGAUCGGAUGAUGUUAAUUUUUUAAUGACUCAUUCGGCGCCUUACG
rnacentral:rRNA from 1 species